GGCCCCUAAGCAAUAUAUUAGUCAAUUUUUUUUAUAAUUUCUGGGAUUUACACACUAAAAAUUAGUUCUCAAUCAUCUAACAUUAAUUUAAUCAAAGUCUUUUUCUUCUACAGUCUACAUCAAUAACUGAGCCAAUUGAAAAUUUUUUAUUUUAAAUUUUAACAAGUUAGUAGUUAAUAUAUUAGCAAGUAGUCUUAGAUUAAAAGCAAUAGAUAUAGCAGGACUUUCUUCUUCUUCUUCUUCUUC
rnacentral:misc_RNA from 1 species